ACACAAGGUCUCUAGGGUUCCGCCGGCAGUCGCCGGGCCUGGUCCGAGAGAGGCCAGCUCUCGCAUCGUCGAGAGCCGCACGGAGGGAUAAAAGCCCGGGAGGU
rnacentral:sRNA from 2 species